AUGGCGCUCCGUACCCUGGCGGCGAGGGUGCGGACUUCAGCCGAUGCGGUCCGCGUCCAGACGACGGCCCUCCGCCUCCCCCCUCCCCCCGGCGGCCGCCCCGACUUCCACUCCGCCGCCCGCCUCUCCGCUCCGCCCGCCGGCCGUCCCUGCCUCAUCUCCAACAGGACUUUGCGUACGACAAUUAACUUGAAAUCAGCUAGUCUAGAAGAAUUAGAGCGAGAGGCGGCGUCCUUAAGGGGACGAAUUGAUGAGGUUGUGGAGUCUAUUAGCAAGGAGAAGGAGAGGUCCGAUCUCAUCAUGAAGGACAUCUGGGGUACCAUGAAGCUGAUGGCAUGUUCAGCUAUUGUGGUGAAAGUCAUCACAUUUGCCAUUUCUCCAGUUGAGGAACCCAAGGAGAUAGCAUGA
rnacentral:rRNA from 1 species